rnacentral:lncRNA from 1 species
CAGCCCAGUGGCUGUGGGGCUGGGAUGGGGUGGCCUCAGGGCUGUGAGCUUCUCUGUGGGAAUGGUGGGUUUUUCCGUGGGGAUGGUGGGUUUUUCCAUGGAGAUGGUGGGUUUUUCUGUGGGGAUGGUGAGUUUUUCUGGGGAGAUGGUGGGUUUUUCUGGGGAGAUGGUGGGUUUUUCUGUGGGGAUGGUGAGUUUUUCUGUGGAAAUGGUAGUCUCUUCAGUGGGGAUGGUGGGUUUUUCCGUGGGGAUGGUGGGUUUUUCCGUGGGGAUGGUGGGUUUUUCCGUGGAGAUGGUGGGUUUUUCUGGGGAGAUGGUGGGUUUUUCUGUGGGGAUGGUGAGUUUUUCUGUGGAGAUGGUAGUCUCUUCAAUGGGGAUGGUGGGUUUUUCUGUGGGGAUGGUGAGUUUUUC